CUACGGGAGGCUGCAGUCGAGAAUCUUCGACAAUGGGAGAAACCCUGAUCGAGCGACGCCGCGUGCGGGAAGAAGGCCUUCGGGUUGUAAACCGCUUUUCUCCGUGAUGAAGUCGCCUUUGGCGACUGACAGUAGCGGAGGAAUAAGAGGUUGCUAACUCUGUGCCAGCAGCAGCGGUAAUACAGAGACCUCAAGCGUUAUCCGGAUUUAUUGGGCGUAAAGGGUCCGUAGGCGGCCAGGUAAGUCUUUGGUUAAAUUUCCAGGGCUCAACCUUGGGAGAGCUGAAGAUACUGUUUGGCUUGAGGGCGCUAGGGGCUGAUGGAACCGUCGGUGUAGGGGUGAAAGCCGUUGAUAUCGACGGGAACACCAAAAGCGAAGGCAUUCAGCUGGGGCGACCCUGACGCUGAGGGACGAAAGCGUGGGGAGCAAAAAGGAUUAGAUACCCGAGUAGUC
rnacentral:rRNA from 1 species